CAUGCGAAGAUAUCGAUAGGCGAGACCCUAGAAGCGCUGAGAGGAAGGUAUUUUUUUGAACAGAGUGGCAGGGCCAAAAUUUAAGGGGAAAGGUUAGCGAAGAGUGGCCACCUGGUCCUGGAGAGUUAGAGUUCCGCGCGCUCUCCGGAGCCGUUGUGAGAGGAUUUCCGAUCUCAGCCCAUAACGGAGUCCCGAAGCCAACUCACCCACACCCAAAAGAAAAGAGAGCCGCCAGCAGCCCGAAUCAGGCCAUGCCCUUGAACCUAGUUCAAGGGCGAUAGAAGAGAGAGCCAUGGGGAUCGGCAGCCGGGAGCAUUAAACAGAACAUCCAAGAGGGGGUUCAGAAAGAAAAAUUCCCGCAACGGAGGAGCAUGCGCGCCGUGCACAGUGUCUUAGCGAUUUUUUUGUGUUCUGAAAGAAAAAAUAAAUAAAUGUGAUUCCAGGGGAUCCAGAUCAGGGAAAGACCAGGAACCAGGACCAGGAAGCAUAAGAGGAAUAGGUCACAGCUCCGCCACCCUGGCUUGUUUUUCCUGCUGGUCUCGAAGGAUCAGACCUGGCCACGUAGUGCGGGACCCUCGCCCACUUAGGGAGAAGAAAAAAAGCACAUCAACUUAUUUACUCCCAUUAAUUAUUUUUGUUAGACGUCUCUAGUUAUAAGUAUAUGUAAUUUAAAGCCGUCCAUAUUUAUUAUAUAUAUGUAACCUAUUUAUUUAUAUUUAUUAUAUUAUUUAUUCCUAUUAAUCUAAUUAUUUAUUAACCGCCAGUAGUACUAAGAUGAGGGGGGGAUGAAUAGGCAGGCCUAGUUUAGAAAUGAUAUCGUGUGAAAAUAGGAAAUGAAGUGAAGAUUAUAACGAAGAAAUGAAUUGUUAAGUGUUUCGUAUGGGGGGAAGAGGAGCCACAGCAACGAGAGGGUAAGGCUUUUGCCAAUGGCAGGGAGAUCCGGAACGUGUGAUUCAGAUCUCAGGUAGGGUGGGUGCGUCGGGGGUAAAACAUCGACACCUCGACCUGGUCCAAGUCUGUGUUGAGGGAAGACUGUAAUGUUGUUUGUCGAGUAGAGUCCGUUUUUUUCAGUUUUUUUUUGUCGGUUAUUUUUGUUGUUUCAUUUUGUUCGAGAUGUCCAAUCAGUUGGUUGUUGUGCGACCUGAGGGCUUGGGAAGUAUCCA